rnacentral:rRNA from 1 species
UACGGGGGGGGCAAGCGUUGUUCGGAAUUACUGGGCGUAAAGAGCUCGUAGGCGGUUUGUCGCGUCGUCUGUGAAAACUCGAGGCUCAACCUCGAGCUUGCAGGCGAUACGGGCAGACUUGAGUACUGCAGGGGAGACUGGAAUUCCUGGUGUAGCGGUGAAAUGCGCAGAUAUCAGGAGGAACACCGGUGGCGAAGGCGGGUCACUGGCCCGGUACUGACGCUGAGGUGCGAAAGCGUGGGGAGCAAACAGG